rnacentral:rRNA from 1 species
UUAACACAUGCAAGUCGAGGGGCAGCAUGGUCUUAGCUUGCUAAGGCCGAUGGCGACCGGCGCACGGGUGAGUAACGCGUAUCCAACCUGCCUUACACUCUUGGACAGCCUUCUGAAAGGGAGAUUAAUACAAGAUGUUAUCAUGAGUAAGCAUUUUCGCAUGAUUAAAGGUUUACCGGUGUAAGAUGGGGAUGCGUUCCAUUAGAUAGUAGGCGGGGUAACGGCCCACCUAGUCUUCGAUGGAUAGGGGUUCUGAGAGGAAGGUCCCCCACAUUGGAACUGAGACACGGUCCAAACUCCUACGGGAGGCAGCAGUGAGGAAUAUUGGUCAAUGGACGAGAGUCUGAACCAGCCAAGUAGCGUGAAGGAUGAAGGUUCUAUGGAUUGUAAACUUCUUUUAUACGGGAAUAAACGAAUCCACGUGUGGAUUUUUGCAUGUACCGUAUGAAUAAGGAUCGGCUAACUCCGUGCCAGCAGCCGCGGUAAUACGGAGGAUCCGAGCGUUAUCCGGAUUUAUUGGGUUUAAAGGGAGCGUAGAUGGGUUGUUAAGUCAGUUGUGAAAGUUUGCGGCUCAACCGUAAAAUUGCAAUUGAUACUGGCAGUCUUGAGUACAGUUGAGGUAGGCGGAAUUCGUGGUGUAGCGGUGAAAUGCUUAGAUAUCACGAAGAACUCCGAUUGCGAAGGCAGCUUACUAACCUGUAACUGACAUUGAUGCUCGAAAGUGUGGGUAUCAAACAGGAUUAGAUACCCUGGUAGUCCACACGGUAAACGAUGAAUACUCGCUGUAGGCGAUAUACAGUCUGCGGCCAAGCGAAAGCAUUAAGUAUUCCACCUGGGGAGUACGCCGGCAACGGUGAAACUCAAAGGAAUUGACGGGGGCCCGCACAAGCGGAGGAACAUGUGGUUUAAUUCGAUGAUACGCGAGGAACCUUACCCGGGCUUAAAUUGCAACCGAAUAUGGCGGAAACGCUAUAGCUAGCAAUAGCGGUUGUGAAGGUGCUGCAUGGUUGUCGUCAGCUCGUGCCGUGAGGUGUCGGCUUAAGUGCCAUAACGAGCGCAACCCUUGCCGAUAGUUACUAACAGGUCAUGCUGAGGACUCUGUCGGGACUGCCAUCGUAAGAUGUGAGGAAGGUGGGGAUGACGUCAAAUCAGCACGGCCCUUACGUCCGGGGCUACACACGUGUUACAAUGGGGGGUACAGAGGGCUGCUACCACGCAAGUGGAUGCCAAUCCCAAAAACCUCUCUCAGUUCGGAUUGAAGUCUGCAACCCGACUUCAUGAAGCUGGAUUCGCUAGUAAUCGCGCAUCAGCCACGGCGCGGUGAAUACGUUCCCGGGCCUUGUACACACCGCCCGUCAAGCCAUGGGAGCCGGGGGUACCUGAAGUGCGUAACCGCAAGGAGCGCCCUAGGGUAAAACUGGUGACUGGGGCUAAGUCAUA